GACGACAAGACCCUAAAAGCUUUAUCAUACAACACCUAUUUUACUAAGAACACAAUAUUUUUACUGGGGUAGUACCUUUAUUCAAAUUGAAGGUUUCUUACACUAACAUGUAACCAGAUCCUUCCUAUAAAGAUAAACUAACAAAGUUACUCUAGGGAUAACAGCACAAUAGAGCCAGAGAGUCCGUAUCUAGGGACCUGAUUGUGACCUCGAUGUUGAAUUAAAUUUUCUUAUUAGAGCAGCCCCUAACUAAGAGGGUUUGUUCAACCUUUUAAUAUUUACAUGAUCUGAGU
rnacentral:rRNA from 1 species